rnacentral:ncRNA from 1 species
GACAGAAGGAAGUAGAUUAGGGAAGUUGGCAAAAUGGAUCCGUAACUUAGGAAACAGGAUUGGCUCUGAGGGCUAGGUGUAUAGAGCCAGUGUGUUCAUCAUCGUCGGGCGGGGCUGGCCGGGCCCGUUGGUGCCUCGCGGCGAGUCUGUGGAUCGCUAGCACUGACCGCGAUGUGACCGCUGGUCUGCGUACACAGUGAAUAGCUAACUCAGAACUGAAGCGGACAAGGAGAAUCCGAGUGUUCAGUUAAAACAAAGCCUUGAGAUGGCCGCAAACGGUGCUGACGCCACGUGAUUUCUGCGCUGGUUAACGGCGGACACAACUAUGACGUUCCUAAGCUAGCCACAUGCCGCGUCAUCUAAUUAGUGGCGUGCAUUAAUUGAUUAACGAGACUUCCACUGUCCCUAUCUACUAUCUAGCGAAACCACAGCCAAGGGAACGGGCUUGGCGGAAUCAGCGGGGAAAGACGACCCUGUUGAGCUUGGCUCUAGUCCGACUUUGUGAAACGGCUUAGGGGGUGUAGCAUAGGUAGGAGCUUCGGCGAUGGUGAAAUAUCACUACCCUCAGUGUCGUUUUACUUAUUCUGUCAACUUGAGAUGCAUGCAAUGCAUGCGUUUUUGCCUUAAGGUGCCCCUCGGGGUGCUGAUCAAUGCGGAAGAUACAGUCAGGUGGGGAGUUUGGCUGGGGCAGCACAACUGUGAAACAAUAGCGCAGGUGUCCUAAGACAAGCUCAGUAAGAACAGAAAUCCCAUGUUAAAGACGGAAGCAACCUUGCUUGAUUUUGAUUUUCAGUACGAAUACAAACUGUGAAGGCAUGGCCUAUCAACCCUUUACGCCUGAGAAACUUUCAGCUAAACGUGUCACAGAAGUUAGGACAGUCUACACGUCUGUGGUUACCCCAAAAAUAAUGGGGACUCAGUAUGACUUCAAUAUUUUGCAAGGAUUCAAAUUGUUAGGUUUCAGCGCAAAUCCUAGCAUUACAAAAUCAACAGAGUGUGGGUCAUCAUAGUCUUUUUCGAAAUUGUUUAGACUAUUGCCCCGCAAAACAAAAUCUGCAUUAAAAUCCUGCUGGCAAGCAUCAUACAUUUGAUGU